ACUCGAUCGCGUAAAAGUUAACUUAAAUUUGUAUGGAGUUGGACAGCUACCUUUCGUUUGCCGCUAGGGGCGCUGAUCCAACUCCAUACAAAUUUGAGUUAACUUUUACGCGAUCGA
rnacentral:pre_miRNA from 9 species